GUGGACUCAGCAGUUUGUGUGUGUAUGGACUCAGCAGUCUGUGUGUGUAUGGACUCAGCAGAGUCUGUGUGUGUGUACGUGUACGGACUCAGCAGUCUGUGUGUGUGUGUGUGUCUGUAUGGACUCAGCAAUCUGUGUGUGUGUAUGGACUCAGCAGUCUGUGUGUUUGUGUAUGGACUCAGCAGUCUGUGUGUUUGUGUAUGGACUCAGCAGAGUGUGUGUGUGUGUGUGUGGACUCAGCAGUCUUUGUGUGUGUAUGGACUCAGCAGAGUCUGUGUGUGUAUGGACUCAGCAGAGUCUGUGUGUGUAUGGACUCAGCAGAGUCUCUGUGUGUGUGUGAUAAUGCAUUAAUGCCGGACUCAGCAGUCUGUGUGUGUGUGUGUCUGUAUGGACUCAACCCAAUCUGUGUGUGUGUAUAGACUCAGCAGUCUGUGUGUUUGUGUAUGGACUCAGAGUGUGUGUGUGUGUGUGUGUGUGUGUGGACUCAGCAGUCUUUGUGUGUGUGUAUGGACUCAACAGUCUGUGUGUGUGGACUCAGCUUGGUCUGUGUGUGUGUGUGUGUGUGUGUGUGGUUCAGCAGUUUGUGUGUGUGGACUCAGCAGUUUGUGUGUGUAUGGACUCAGCAGUCUGUGUGUGUAUGGACUCAGCAGAGUCUGUGUGUGUGUACGUGUACGGACUCAGCAGUCUGUGUGUGUGUGUGUGUGUCUGUAUGGACUCAGCAAUCUGUGUGUUUGUGUAUGGACUCAGCAGAGUGUGUGUGUGUGGACUCAGCAGUCUUUGUGUGUGUAUGGACUCAGCAGUCUGUGUGUGUAUGGACUCAGCAGAGUCUGUGUGUGUGUGUAUGGACUCAGCAGAGUCUGUGUGUGUUUGUGUGUAUGGACUCAGCAGAGUGUGUGUGUUUGUGUGUGUGUAUGGACUCAGCAGUCUGUGUGUGUGUAUGGACUCAGCAGUAUGUGUGUGUUUGUGUGUAUGGACUCAGCAGAGUGUGUGUGUUUGUGUGUAUGGACUCAGCAGAGUCUGUGUGUGUGUAUGGACUCAGCAGUCUGUGUGUGUACGGACUCAGCAGAGUCUGUGUGUGUGUAUGGACUCAGCAGUCUGUGUGUGUACGGACUCAGCAGAGUCUGUGUGUGUGUAUGGACUCAGCAGUCUGUGUGUGUGUGUAUGGACUCAGCAGUCUGUGUGUGUGUACGGACUCAGCAGAGUCUGUGUGUGUGUACGGACUCAGCAGAGUCUGUGUGUGUGUACGGACUCAGCAGUCUGUGUGUGUUUGUGUAUGGACUCAGCAGUCUUUGUGUGUUUGUGUAUGGAAUCAGCAGAGUGUGUGUUUGUGUAUGGACCCAGCAGUCUGUGUGUGUGUG